AAAGCCUGAUGCAGCGACGCCGCGUGAGGGAUGACGGCCUUCGGGUUGUAAACCUCUUUCAGUAGGGAAGAAGCGAAAGUGACGGUACCUGCAGAAGAAGCACCGGCUAACUACGUGCCAGCAGCCGCGGUAAUACGUAUGGCGCAAGCGUUAUCCGGAAGUAUUGGGCGUAAAGAGCUCGUAUGCGGUUUGUCGCGUCUGCCGUGAAAGUCCGGGGCUCAACUCCGGAUCUGCGGUGGGUACGGGCAGACUAGAGUGAUGUAUGGGAGACUGGAAUUCCUGGUGUAGCGGUGAAAUGCGCAGAUAUCAGGAGGAACACCGAUGGCGAAGGCAGGUCUCUGGGCAUUAACUGACGCUGAGGAGCGAAAGCAUGGGGAGCGAACAG
rnacentral:rRNA from 1 species